rnacentral:tRNA from 1 species
GGUGGGUUGGCUCGGUGGUUAGAGCUUAGGUCUCGUAACCGAAAGGUCGCGGGAUCGAGUCCCGCUAGAGGCUG